AGCAGCCGCGGUAAUUCCAGCUCCAAUAGCGUAUAUUAAAGUUGUUGCAGUUAAAAAGCUCGUAGUUGAACUUCGGGGUUUACUCAUUGGUCAGGCUUAAUUGUCUGUACUGGUGAGAUGAAUCUCUACCUUCUGAGGAACUUUCAUGCCAUUUAUUUGGUGUGAUUGGAAAUCAGGACUGUUACUUUGAAAAAUUAGAGUGUUUAAAGCAGGCUAACGUCUGAAUACAUUAGCAUGGAAUAAUGAAAUAGGACGGAUUGAUUCUAUUUCGUUGGUUUCUAGGGUCACCGUAAUGAUUAAUAGGGAUAGUUGGGGGCAUUAGUAUUCAAUUGUCAGAGGUGAAAUUCUUGGAUUUAUUGAAGACUAACUACUGCGAAAGCAUUUGCCAAGGAUGUUUUCAUUAAUCAAGAACGAAAGUUAGGGGACCGAAGACGAUCAGAUACCGUCGUAGUCUUAACCAUAAACUAUGCCGACUAGGGAUCGGACGAAGUUAAUUAAUAAUGACGCGUUCGGCACCUUA
rnacentral:misc_RNA from 1 species